GACGAACGCUGGCGGCGUGCCUAAUACAUGCAAGUAGAACGCACAGUUUAUACCGUAGCUUGCUACACCAUAGACUGUGAGUUGCGAACGGGUGAGUAACGCGUAGGUAACCUGCCUGGUAGCGGGGGAUAACUAUUGGAAACGAUAGCUAAUACCGCAUAAUAUUAAUUAUUGCAUGAUAAUUAAUUGAAAGGUGCAAUUGCACCACUACCAGAUGGACCUGCGUUGUAUUAGCUAGUAGGUGAGGUAACGGCUCACCUAGGCGACGAUACAUAGCCGACCUGAGAGGGUGAUCGGCCACACUGGGACUGAGACACGGCCCAGACUCCUACGGGAGGCAGCAGUAGGGAAUCUUCGGCAAUGGACGCAAGUCUGACCGAGCAACGCCGCGUGAGUGAAGAAGGUUUUCGGAUCGUAAAGCUCUGUUGUAAGAGAAGAACGGGUGUGAGAGUGGAAAGUUCACACUGUGACGGUAUCUUACCAGAAAGGGACGGCUAACUACGUG
rnacentral:rRNA from 1 species